GCCCCGGUGGCGGAAUCGGUAGACGCAGCGGACUUAAAAUCCGCCGACCUUAAAGUCUUGCGGGUUCAAGUCCCGCCCGGGGCA
rnacentral:tRNA from 1 species